UACGUAGGGUGCGAGCGUUGUCCGGAAUUAUUGGGCGUAAAGAGCUCGUAGGCGGUGUGUCACGUCGGCCGUGAAAACCUGCAGCUUAACUGUGGGCGUGCGGUCGAUACGGGCAUCACUGGAGUUCGGCAGGGGAGACUGGAAUUCCAGGUGUAGCGGUGAAAUGCGUAGAUAUCUGGAGGAACACCGGUGGCGAAGGCGGCGUUCUGGACUGCAACUGACACUGAGGAACGAAAGCCAGGGGAGCAAACGGG
rnacentral:rRNA from 1 species